ensembl:rRNA 5S_rRNA 5S ribosomal RNA
GCCAGCAGCCAUGUCACCCUGCAACUUACAAUUGGCAACCCACUAAAGCUAAGCAGGUCUGAGCUUGGUCAGUACCUGGAUGGGAGACCUCCUGGGAAAAACUAAGGUUGCUGUUGGAA